rnacentral:rRNA from 1 species
UACGGAGGGUGCGAGCGUUGUCCGGAAUCAUUGGGCGUAAAGGGCGCGUAGGUGGCCCGGUGAGUCUUUGGUGAAAGCGCGGGGCUCAACCCUGCGUCGGCCAGGGAUACUGCCGCGGCUCGAGCACUGUAGAGGCAGGCGGAAUUCCGGGUGUAGCGGUGGAAUGCGUAGAGAUCCGGAAGAACACCGGUGGCGAAGGCGGCCUGCUGGGCUAUGGCUGACACUGAGGCGCGACAGCGUGGGGAGCAAACGGG